UUCAAAACUGCACAAGUGGCUUCUGCAUCCUGGUGCUGCGUCGUCGCGGAGCCCGUGCGGUCCUGUAGCCGAGAUGCCGGAGGAAACCCAGACCCAGGAUCAGCCGAUGGAGGAGGAGGAGGUGGAGACGUUCGCCUUCCAGGCGGAGAUCGCCCAGUUGAUGUCCCUCAUCAUCAACACGUUCUACUCGAACAAGGAGAUCUUCCUCCGGGAGCUGAUUUCCAACUCGUCGGACGCUUUGGACAAAAUCAGAUACGAGAGCUUGACCGAUCCCAGUAAGCUAGAUUCUGGGAAGGAGCUGCACAUUAACCUCAUUCCGAACAAGCAAGAUCGAACCCUGACCAUCGUGGACACCGGCAUUGGCAUGACGAAGGCCGACCUGAUCAAUAACCUGGGUACCAUCGCCAAGUCGGGGACCAAGGUGUUCAUGGAGGCCUUGCAGGCUGGCGCAGAUAUUUCCAUGAUUGGCCAGUUUGGCGUCGGGUUUUAUUCUGCCUACCUGGUGGCUGAGAAAGUGACGGUGAUCACCAAGCAUAACGACGACAAGCAGUAUGCCUGGGAGUCUUCUGCUGGAGGGUCGUUCACGGUUAGGACGGAUACAGGUGAACCUAUGGGUCGUGGAACAAAGGUUAUCCUGCAUCUGAAGGAAGACCAGACUGAGUAUCUGGAGGAGAGGAGGAUAAAGGAGAUUGUGAAGAAACAUUCUCAGUUCAUUGGCUACCCCAUUACUCUCUUUGUGGAGAAGGAACGUGAUAAAGAAGUCAGUGACGAUGAGGCUGAAGAAAAGGAGGAGAAAGAGGAAGAAAAAGAAAAGGAAGAGAAAGAGUCUGAUGACAAACCUGAAAUAGAAGAUGUUGGUUCGGAUGAGGAGGAGGAGGAAAAGAAGGAUGGAGACAAGAAGAAAAAGAAGAAGAUCAAGGAGAAGUACAUUGACCAGGAAGAGCUGAACAAAACCAAGCCUAUUUGGACCAGGAACCCUGACAACAUCACCAACGAAGAAUAUGGGGAAUUUUAUAAGAGCUUGACCAAUGACUGGGAAGAUCACUUGGCAGUGAAGCAUUUUUCAGUUGAAGGACAGCUGGAGUUCAGAGACCUUCUCUUUGUGCCAAGACGUGCUCCCUUUGACCUAUUCGAGAACAGAAAGAAAAAGAACAAUAUUAAGCUGUACGUUCGCAGAGUUUUCAUUAUGGAUAACUGCGAGGAGCUGAUCCCUGAGUAUCUGAAUUUCAUUAGAGGUGUGGUGGACUCUGAAGAUCUUCCUCUAAAUAUUUCCCGUGAGAUGUUGCAGCAAAGCAAAAUUUUGAAAGUUAUCAGAAAAAAUUUGGUCAAAAAGUGCUUGGAACUUUUCACCGAACUGGCUGAAGACAGAACUACAAAAAGUUUUACAAGCAGUUCUCGAAAAACAUCAAGCUGGGAAUACAUGAAGAUUCUCAAAAUCGGAAGAAGCUGUCAGAGCUGUUACGAUACUACACGUCGGCUUCUGGUGAUGAGAUGGUUUCUCUCAAGGAUUAUUGCACUAGAAUGAAGGAAAACCAGAAACACAUCUAUUACAUCACAGGUGAGACCAAGGACCAGGUAGCAAACUCUGCCUUUGUGGAGCGUCUUCGGAAGCAUGGCCUGGAAGUGAUCUAUAUGAUCGAACCCAUCGAUGAGUACUGUGUCCAACAGCUUAAGGAAUUUGAGGGGAAGACAUUGGUGUCAGUCACCAAAGAGGGUUUGGAACUUCCAGAAGACGAAGAAGAGAAGAAGAAACAGGAGGAGAAAAAAACAAAGUUUGAAAAUCUGUGCAAGAUCAUGAAGGACAUCUUGGAGAAAAAAGUAGAAAAGGUGGUCGUGUCAAACCGAUUGGUGACCUCCCCGUGCUGCAUUGUCACAAGCACAUAUGGCUGGACGGCAAAUAUGGAGAGAAUCAUGAAGGCCCAAGCCUUAAGAGACAACUCCACCAUGGGUUACAUGGCAGCAAAGAAGCACCUGGAGAUAAACCCUGACCACUCCAUCAUCGAGACCUUACGGCAGAAGGCAGAGGCCGACAAGAACGACAAGUCUGUGAAAGAUCUGGUCAUCCUGCUCUAUGAAACCGCUCUCCUGUCCUCCAGCUUCAGUCUGGAAGAUCCCCAGACACAUGCUAACAGGAUCUACAGGAUGAUCAAGCUUGGGCUCGGUAUCGACGAAGAUGACCCCACAGCUGACGAUAGCAGUGCUGCGGUGAGUGAGGAGAUGCCGCCCCUCUAAGGUGAUGACGACACGUCACGCAUGGAAGAAGUCGAUUAAGUGCUGCCCUGAGAAUUACUUGUAUAUGUAUUCAAUACUUUAUCUUCAUUCCCUCUGAUAAUAUAUUUUCAAGGAUGUUUUUCUUUAUUUUUGUUAACAUUUUAAGAAUCUGUAAGGCAUGACAAUAUAGCUACUUAAGGGGAAGAUAAGA